ensembl:lncRNA
AUAAAAAUAUUACACAAUUCAGCAGAAUAAGUUGAAUUAAUUAAACAUAACAGCUAACCUGAAAUCGCUUUUAUUUUUUGUCUUGCAGAAUUUCUGCAGAAAUACAUCAAAACGUUAAAAAUAAAUGUCACAACAAGUUACCACAAAACACAACCCCACAGAAAUCAUCACAACAAAAAUGCACAAAAAAGUGUUAUAAAAAUCAAGCCAAUCAAACUUUUCAAUAGAAUAAAUGAUCUUAACAGAAAACUUAACAGGUAACUUGAAAUCGUUUUGAGUAGGCAUUUAUCUAGUAGACGCAUACAUUAAAAUUAAUUUCCAAUUUAUUUCUUUUUUUUCUUUUAAUGAAUUUGUUUACCAUAUUCCCUGGUUUUACUGUCCCUUUCAGUUCAUUUACACCACUUAUUUAUUUUCUAUACUUUCUAUUUCUGUACUAAAUAUACUGUAGACAUAGAACUGUAGGACAUAAUAACAUUGUAAAACAUUUCAACAUUAAAAAGCUUAAUGACUCUAGAGCUAACACAAAAAGAGCAGCACAUGUAAAUGUGUGGAUUCAGUGCUUGUGCGUGUAUGUGUGUGAGCCGCUGGUGACUCAUGAGGUGUGGCUAAGCCGGACGGGGUUAUUUUGAGCAGAUAUAAAGCAAGCUCAGGUGAAGCAAGCUCUCAGAGAAGAAACUCCUCGGUCAAAUGUCUCUGGAAUAUCCCGUAUGUCUCGCUUACUUGAUAGACAGAGAACUGUGUCCCUUUACUGACCUGCCUAUCACUUACCUUAAACACACAUCUUCCUCUUUCCUGCACAUGAUACUGCCUGUUAUAAAGAAAUACUGAUUCUUAAACCUGUUGAUCAUACAAUACAGGCCUAUAAAGUGACCCCAAACAGUAAAGACUUACGACUAAAGCUUUAAAUGGAAAAUAGUAUUCUUAUUCUAAAUACAAAUAAAUAAAACAAUAGAUUUACUGUCCUGAAUGAAGACAAAAAAGUGCAUUGACAUGUCCUGCGGGAGGUGAAUGCAUGUAAAUAUAUAGGCUAGAUCAUGGCAGGGCCUGUGGUGAGGACAGAUGAGUAAAAUGCCAGCAGGCCGUCCUGUAGUGAGCGUCCUGUGGUGUGAGUCAUCACAAUCAGUUAGCAGGUUGAUUUCACAGGAGCCACCACAUUUCAACACUGACAUUAUGUUUCUCCUUUUAAAAAGUAUCGCAAUCACAAACCCUCGUGCUAUGAAAGCAACGUACAAUUAAUGCGAAAUAAUGCGUGAACUCAUGUAAAAACCUUAAAUACAACAUUGUACAUAUAUGUGUGUGUGUGUUUAAAUAUGAUUGAUGGAUUCAUUAAAAUAUGCAUUUCUGUACUGAAAGCGCAUGCAUUAAAAGCAACCCCAAUGCAUCUGGAAUAUCAAUUAAUGCUAUUAAACUUGGGAUAAGCAUUACUAGUGCAAUCCGAUCUGCAUUACAAAUGUGUGCACAAUACAAAAACAAUACUAGCGGAGAACGGCCCGUAAAGUGAUAGCUACGAAGAAGCGAUUGACGCAUGCAACAAAACCCAACAUAAAGCCCAGAGCGAGAGGCUUUCUAAAUAACGCUGGUGAUGUUCAGUGGAGGUUCCUGGAAUGUUUGUCUUAACACAAAGAUGAUGAGCUUAAAGAUAAAACCAAAUUACGCCCGAAAAACAAAACUGAAAAGUUGUGGUUUUCACUAAAAAAAAGAGAGAAAGAGAGAGAGAAAGAAAAAAAAGAGUCAAUUUAAUUAGGCCGGGACUGUACUAUAUUUUGUGGAGGAUAUGGUAUUUUAGCCUGACAUUUAAACAUCCUAUGCUUUUGGCUGGUGCCAUCUGUGCUGAAACCAACCCACGCGCACACAAACACAGCUCUCUCCCCUAUUAUCUCUCAGCAAACUGUUUUUAAUAUCAAAUGAGCUUAAAAUGCACUAUCAGAAAAUGCAUUUUAUCUUUGACAAUCACUGAUAAUCUGUUCUGGAAUCCUGCACAGACGGUGUACGGAAAAAAAAAAAGCCAAUACUGUAGCUCAUGAAUGCAAACACAAAGAACCGUUUGUUCCAUUCUGCACAAAAGGCAACAGUUUUUGCUUUUCCAGAGCUGCAGAAAUAGUCCCACGUUGCGUGUAGUAAGACUAGUGCAGCUGUUCUUCAAAGAGACAAAUAAAAGGUUAAAGGUCACAGUGAAAUAGGCAGCGCUUCCCGACAGUUUCCAAUGAGGGAAUAAAAAAAAAUCAUGAAUAGCAAACAGACCAACUCAGAUGUAAGCGGACAGAUGGUUAUUGAACUGAAGAAUUCACAUUCUUAAAAGCCCGGAAGGCCGGUUAAUUCAUGUGUUACUUAGCAUGGUUGUGAUUACAAGGUCAUGUGUUGAAUUUUGCAGUACACUGCAUGUUUGACCGUCUUGGAUCAGCGAUGCAAUUAUUUAUCCUUUACAUUUAUCAACAUACAUUUUUAUCUAAAGCAACUUAAAAAAAAAAAAAAACGAGGUAUGUUAAAUAAUAUUAAAUAAAAGCUUCAUCUAGUUUAAAUGACAUGCAUGGUUAUUGAGUGACACAUUUCCAUGCUGUAAUUGUAAAAAUAAGUUAAUCUAAAAAUAAGCAGGU